rnacentral:rRNA from 1 species
UCAAGUAGAAAAGGGCGCACGGUGAAUGCCUAGGCACUAAAAGCCGAUGAAGGACGUGACGAACUACGAAAAGCUUCGGGGAGCGGUAAGUACGCUAAGAUCCGGAGAUGUCCGAAUGGGGGAACCCAAUGCAGCGAUGCAUUAUUGAAUGAUGAAUAGAUAGUCAUUCAAAGGAAUACGCAGUGAACUGAAACAUCUAAGUAGCUGCAGGAAGAGAAAGAAAAAUCGAUUUCCUUAGUAGCGGCGAGCGAAGAGGAAAGAGCCCAAACCACCAAGUGAUUUAUCAUUUGGGGUUGUAGGACUGCGACGUGGCAGCGUGAGUGAUAGCAGAAUUAUCUGGGAAGGUAAGCCAGAGAGGGUGAGAGCCCCGUAAGCGAAAUUGCAAGCGCGCCUAGCAGAAUCCUGAGUAGGCCGGGACACGAGGAAUCCCGGUUGAAACCGCGAGGACCAUCUCGCAAGGCUAAAUACUAAUUAGUGACCGAUAGUGAACCAGUACCGUGAGGGAAAGGUGAAAAGAACCCCGGAAGGGGAGUGAAAGAGAACCUGAAACCGUGUGUCUACAAGUAGUCAAAGCACAUUAAGGUGCAAUGGCGUGCCUUUUGUAGAAUGAACCGGCGAGUUACGUUAACUAGCGAGGUUAAGUCAGAAAAGACGGAGCCGGAGCGAAAGCGAGUCUGAAUAGGGCGAGAAGUUAGUUGACGUAGACCCGAAACCAAGUGACCUACCCAUGACCAGGCUGAAGGUGUGGUAAAACGCACUGGAGGGCCGAACCCACGUAAGUUAAAAAUUGCGGGGAUGAGUUGUGGGUAGCGGUGAAAUUCCAAACGAACUUGGAGAUAGCUGGUUCUCUCCGAAAUAGCUUUAGGGCUAGCCUCGUGGAGAGGAUAAUGGAGGUAGAGCUCUGUUUGGACUAGGGGCCCGUCAGGGGUUACUGAAUCCAGAUAAACUGCGAAUUCCAUAUAUCCAUACACGGGAGUCAGACUGCGAGUGAUAAGAUCCGUAGUCGAAAGGGAAACAGCCCAGAUCACCAGUUAAGGUCCCCAAAUCUAUGCUAAGUGGAAAAGGAUGUGGAGUUGCGUAGACAACUAGGACGUUGGCUCAGAAGCAGCCAUCAUUCAAAGAGUGCGUAAUAGCUCACUAGUCGAGUGGCGCUGCGCCGAAAAUUUACCGGGGCUAAGCAUAGUACCGAAACUGUGGAUGUGUUUUAAAGAGCACGUGGUAGGAGAGCGUUCUAAGUGCGGCGAAGGCUAAUCGAGAGGAUAGUUGGAGCGCUUAGAAGUGAGAAUGCCGGUAUGAGUAGCGAAAGAUAGGUGAGAAUCCUAUCCGCCGAAAGACUAAGGUUUCCUGGGGCAGGCUCGUCCGCCCAGGGUAAGUCGGGACCUAAGGCAAGGCCGAGAGGCGUAGUCGAUGGAUAACAGGUAGAGAUUCCUGUACUGUGUUCAAUCGUUAUGAGCAAUGGAGGGACGCAGGAGGCGAAACACGCAUCGAGCUGGAUCGAUGUUCAAGCAGCGAGUGCGGUUAAGAGUCAAAUGCUUCUAACCAGCAACAUGAGCUGUGAUGAGUAGCGAAGUAAAAGUAGCGAAGGUGAUGUAGUCACACUGCCAAGAAAAGCUUCUAGCCAGAGAGAACAUACCCGUACCGCAAACCGACACAGGUAGUCGAGUGGAGAACACUAAGGUGAGCGAGAGAACUCUCGUUAAGGAACUCGGCAAAAUGACCCCGUAACUUCGGAAGAAGGGGUGCUGGCCAUGAGAGUGGUUAGCCGCAGUGAAUAGGCCCAAACAACUGUUUAUCAAAAACACAGGUCUCUGCAAAAUCGUAAGAUGACGUAUAGAGGCUGACACCUGCCCGGUGCUGGAAGGUUAAGAGGAGAGCUUAGCGCAAGCGAAGGUUUGAAUUGAAGCCCCAGUAAACGGCGGCCGUAACUAUAACGGUCCUAAGGUAGCGAAAUUCCUUGUCGGGUAAGUUCCGACC